UAAGGGGUUAACCUCAUGGCCCAGUG
rnacentral:piRNA from 1 species